AAGCCAGCUAGCGUGAGUCUGCUUACCUACAUGUGUACAUGCAGAGAUUUAGAUAAAGCUGGCAAUAUUAAUGCCAUGAUACGAGCCUUAAGGACAAUCAAAGUCAUUAAGGUCCCCUGAGGAUGGCUACAAAU